rnacentral:rRNA from 1 species
AUUGAACGCUGGCGGCAGGCCUAACACAUGCAAGUCGAGCGGAUGAAGGGAGCUUGCUCCUGGAUUCAGCGGCGGACGGGUGAGUAAUGCCUAUGAAUCUGCCUGGUAGUGGGGGAUAACGUCCGGAAACGGGCGCUAAUACCGCAUACGUCCUGAGGGAGAAAGUGGGGGAUCUUCGGACCUCACGCUAUCAGAUGAGCCUAGGUCGGAUUAGCUAGUUGGUGGGGUAAAGGCCUACCAAGGCGACGAUCCGUAACUGGUCUGAGAGGAUGAUCAGUCACACUGGAACUGAGACACGGUCCAGACUCCUACGGGAGGCAGCAGUGGGGAAUAUUGGACAAUGGGCGAAAGCCUGAUCCAGCCAUGCCGCGUGUGUGAAGAAGGUCUUCGGAUUGUAAAGCACUUUAAGUUGGGAGGAAGGGCAGUAAGUUAAUACCUUGCUGUUUUGACGUUACCAACAGAAUAAGCACCGGCUAACUACGUG